UUUCAGGGUGAGCGUGUUUCUGACUGCCUCUUCGAGCGCCAUCAAAUUAGUGUCGAGUGCUGAGUUCUCCAGCAUUAGAGGUAUUCUUGUAGCAGAAACACUUGUAACUGGACUGAGCAAAUGAACAUCGUCAUCAAACUUAGCUUCGUGAGAUGUUGGGCAAUUUGGUAUGAUCAAAGAACUUCUGCGGGGAAAUGGCGAACCGAGUUUUUGCCCAAAGUUUGGAAGAGAGUAGUUGGAGAUGGUCAAAGGGGACACGAGCCCGGUUAUGUGAACUUUGCCUAUGCAAGUUACUCCAGAGAUUAUAGUUAGAGUAUCUUCAGUACUGAAACAUAGUAGAGUUGAUAUUGCAAUUGAGCUGAAUAUAGCUCACCGGUAA
rnacentral:misc_RNA from 1 species